ACGUAGGUGGCAAGCGUUGUCCGGAUUUAUUGGGCGUAAAGCGAGCGCAGGCGGUUCCUUAAGUCUGAUGUGAAAGCCCACGGCUCAACCGUGGAAGGUCAUUGGAAACUGGGGAACUUGAGUGCAGAAGAGGAGAGUGGAAUUCCAUGUGUAGCGGUGAAAUGCGUAGAUAUAUGGAGGAACACCAGUGGCGAAGGCGACUCUCUGGUCUGUAACUGACGCUGAGGCUCGAAAGCGUGGGGAGCAAACAG
rnacentral:rRNA from 1 species